UAAACUGAAGAGUUUGAUCAUGGCUCAGAUUGAACGCUGGCGGCAGGCCUAACACAUGCAAGUCGUGCGCGAAAGUCCUUUCGGGGAUGAGUAGAGCGGCGGACGGGUGAGUAACGCGUGGGAAUCUGCCCAGUAGCGGGGGAUAGCUUGGGGAAACCCGGAUUAAUACCGCAUACGCCCUACGGGGGAAAGGUGGCUUUUGCUGCCGCUGUUGGAUGAGCCCGCGUUAGAUUAGUUUGUUGGUGGGGUAAUGGCCUACCAAGACUCCGAUCUAUAGCUGGUCUGAGAGGAUGAUCAGCCACAUUGGGACUGAGACACGGCCCAGACUCCUGCGGGAGGCAGCAGUGGGGAAUAUUGGACAAUGGGCGGAAGCCUGAUCCAGCCAUGCCGCGUGUGUGAAGAAGGCUUUCGGGUUGUAAAGCACUUUCGGCGGGGAGGAAUGGCGUGCGGUUAAUACCCGCGCGCUUGGACGUUAUCCGCAGAAGAAGCACCGGCAAACUCCGUGCCAGCAGCCGCGGUAAUACGGAGGGUGCGAGCGUUAAUCGGAAUUACUGGGCGUAAAGCGCGCGUAGGUGGCCCGUUAAGCAGGGUGUGAAAGCCCGGGGCUUAACCCCGGAAUUGCAUUUUGAACUGGCGGGCUGGAGUAUGGGAGAGGGUAGCGGAAUUUCUGGUGUAGCGGUGGAAUGCGUAGAUAUCAGAAGGAACCUCUGUGGCGAAGGCGGCUGCCUGGCCCUAUACUGACACUGUGGCGCGAAAGCACGGGGAGCGAACAGGAUUAGAUACCCUGGUAGUCCGUGCCGUAAACGAUGUCAAUUAGUCGUUGGGAAACGUGUUUUCUUAGUGGCGCAGCUAACGCGAUAAAUUGACCGCCUGGGGAGUACGGCCGCAAGGUUAAAACUCAAAUGAAUUGACGGGGGCCCGCACAAGCGGUGGAGCAUGUGGUUUAAUUCGAUGCAACGCGAAGAACCUUACCAGGUCUUGACAUCCCCGGAACUUUCCAGAGAUGGAUUGGUGCCUUCGGGAACCGGGAGACAGGUGCUGCAUGGCUGUCGUCAGCUCGUGUCGUGAGAUGUUGGGUUAAGUCCCGUAACGAGCGCAACCCUUGUCCCUAGUUGCUAACAGUUCGGCUGAGAACUUUGGGGAGACUGCCGGUGACAAGCCGGAGGAAGGUGGGGACGACGUCAAGUCAUCAUGGCCCUUACGGCCUGGGCUACACACGUGCUACAAUGGGGCGCACAGAGGGUCGCCAACCCGCAAGGGGGAGCCAAUCCCAGAAAACGCCUCGUAGUCCGGAUUGGAGUCUGCAACUCGACUCCAUGAAGUCGGAAUCGCUAGUAAUCGCGAAUCAGAAUGUCGCGGUGAAUACGUUCCCGGGCCUUGUACACACCGCCCGUCACACCAUGGGAGUGGGUUGCUCCAGAAGUGGCUAGUCUAACUUUUUGAGGACGGUCACCACGGAGUGAUUCAUGACUGGGGUGAAGUCGUAACAAGGUAGCCGUAGGGGAACCUGCGGCUGGAUCACCUCCUUAAA
rnacentral:rRNA from 1 species